rnacentral:lncRNA from 1 species
UGGCAUCUUGCAGGAACAACACCAGGAUAGAGCAGAUGCCCAUGUCUCAUUGUGCUGCCUCCAAGAACUUACCAGAAGAAAGGGAGACACACUCCCACACAGCUGAGCAGCCCAGUGUUCCCCAGACUCCAGCAGCAGCCGAGGAGGGCCCCCCCCUGCACACAGACCUGUCCUACUACUCCUACGAGUACGACCCCGACGCCUUCGCCGUGGAGGGCGACGUGUUCGAGGUGGUGGCAGAGCUGAGCACGGCCAGCACCUUCAGGGAAGGGGACAGCAGCCAGGCCGAGGUCACCCCGGCAGAAUGAAAUACAUAACUUAAAUAAAGAGGCUCAGAAUCGACUCCUGUAUGAGUUUGUUCCUCCAGACGACCUGCUGCAGAACAGAAUCUGAAUGAUGACUACUUCCUGAUGCCCUCAGAACUGUAGGCUUUGCUGCCCCAUGGGGCAGAUUUGGAGCUCUAAGGGGGACACUCAGCGUUAUUUUUCUGUCCAUUUUCCUGCCUUCUUGUGCAUCCUCUUUGGAGCCCUUCCAGUGAUGAGAGACCAAUAUGCUGUGCCCUCUAGGUGAGAAAAAUAGGGGCUGGAAUUCAAACCUAUACAGCAUUUCCAAGUGUUUUCUCUGCUAUCAGGUUAUUCUGCAAAUGCCAUUUCCUAGCUACACUUAGAAGCUAAGUCCAGGCCUUGUGCUUAGCUAAACUGCUGUUCGAGGAAAGAUGGCUGAGAAGUAUUUUGCUCAAAUUAUAAUAAUAAAAAUCAGUGUGUUUUUCCAAUUGUGACAUAGCAAGAGGCUACUCAUCUUCACCAGUGCAUCAGUCUGCACCCAUGAGAGAAACACUUCCCUGUGGCUCCAUAAUUCAGGGAAGCUCUUGGGAG